rnacentral:rRNA from 1 species
GGGGAAUUUUCCGCAAUGGGCGAAAGCCUGACGGAGCAAUACCGCGUGAGGGAGGAAUGCCUUUGGGUUGUAAACCUCUUUUCUCAGGGAAGAAGAUCUGACGGUACCUGAGGAAUAAGUAUCGGCUAACUCCGUGCCAGCAGCCGCGGUAAUACGGAGGAUGCAAGCGUUAUCCGGAAUCAUUGGGCGUAAAGCGUCCGCAGGUGGUUUCCAAAGUCUGCUGUUAAAGACUGGAGCUCAACUCCGGAACGGCGGUGGAAACUUGGAAACUAGAGUUCGGUAGGGGUAGCAGGAAUUCCCAGUGUAGCGGUGAAAUGCGUAGAUAUUGGGAAGAACAUCGGUGGCGAAGGCGUGCUACUGGACCGUAACUGACACUCAGGGACGAAAGCUAGGGGAGCGAAAGGGAUUAGAUACCCCUGUAGUCCUGGCUGUAAACGAUGGAAACUAGGUGUGGCUUG